rnacentral:rRNA from 1 species
CCCUACGGGGCGCAGCAGGCGCGAAAACUUUACAAUGCUGGCAACAGCGAUAAGGGGACCUCGAGUGCCAGGAUACAAUCUUGGCUGUCGUAAUGCCUAAAAAGCAUUGCAUAGCAAGGGCCGGGCAAGACCGGUGCCAGCCGCCGCGGUAACACCGGCGGCUCGAGUGGUAACCGCUAUUAUUGGGUCUAAAGGGUCUGUAGCCGGCCGGAUAAGUCUUUUGGGAAAUCUGGCAGCUCAACUGUCAGGCUUUCAGAAGAUACUGUUCGGCUCGAGGCCGGGAGAGGUGAGAGGUACUUCAGGGGUAGGGGUGAAAUCCUGUAAUCC